rnacentral:rRNA from 1 species
GAUGAACGCUGGCGGCGUGCCUAAUACAUGCAAGUCGAGCGAACAGACGAGGAUCUUGCUCCUCUGACGUUAGCGGCGGACGGGUGAGUAACACGUGGAUAACCUACCUAUAAGACUGGGAUAACUUCGGGAAACCGUAGCUAAUACCGGAUAAUAUAUUGAACCGCAUGGUUCAAUAGUGAAAGACGGUUUUGCUGUCACUUAUAGAUGUAUCCGCGCCGCAUUAGCUAGUUGGUCAGGUAACGGCUUACCAAGGCGACGAUGCGUAGCCGACCUGAGAGGGUGACCGGCCACACUGGAACUGAGACACGGUCCAGACUCCUACGGGAGGCAGCAGUAGGGAAUCUUCAGCAAUGGGCGAAAGCCUGACGGAGCAACGACGCGUGAGUGAUGAAGGUCUUCGGAUCGUAAAACUCUGUUAUUAGGGAAGAACAAAUGUGUAAGUAACUAUGCACGUCUUGACGGUACCUAAUCAGAAAGCCACGGCUAACUACGUG